UUUAAGUCAUGGCAACAACAUUCUGAAAAUGUUCUGUUCUAACGAGUGAUGCAAAAAUGUAAAGGGGAGGAGUCAUAAGUGGAAUGUGUCUGUAGAUCCCCCUAGUGUCCAUAAAAACAACAACUCCACUUUUAGCACUUUAGACCUCUUUGUAGAAGAGAAUAAUUUGAUAAAUACCUCUUAUCCAUUCAUGGUAAAUGAGUUACCAAGACACUCGUGGAAAACUAAC